GAUGAACGCUGGCGGCGUGCCUAAUACAUGCAAGUCGAGCGAACAGACGAGGAGCUUACUCCUCUGACGUUAGCGGCGGACGGGUGAGUAACACGUGGAUAACCUACCUAUAAGACUGGGAUAACUUCGGGAAACCGGAGCUAAUACCGGAUAACAUGUUGAACCGCAUGGUUCAACAGUGAAAGACGGUCUUGCUGUCACUUAUAGAUGGAUCCGCGUCGCAUUAGCUAGUUGGUAAGGUAACGGCCUACCAAGGCAACGAUGCGUAGCCGACCUGAGAGGGUGAUCGGCCACACUGGAACUGAGACACGGUCCAGACUCCUACGGGAGGCAGCAGUAGGGAAUCUUCCGCAAUGGGCGAAAGCCUGACGGAGCAACGCCGCGUGAGUGAAGAAGGUCUUCGGAUCGUAAAACUCUGUUAUUAGGGAAGAACAAAUGUGUAAGUAACUAUGCACGUCUUGACGGUACCUAAUCAGAAAGCCACGGCUAACUACGUG
rnacentral:rRNA from 1 species